GAUGAACGCUGGCGGCGUGCCUAAUACAUGCAAGUCGAGCGAACGGACGAGAAGCUUGCUUCUCUGAUGUUAGCGGCGGACGGGUGAGUAACACGUGGAUAACCUACCUAUAAGACUGGGAUAACUUCGGGAAACCGGAGCUAAUACCGGAUAAUAUUUUGAACCGCAUGGUUCAAAAGUGAAAGACGGUCUUGCUGUCACUUAUAGAUGGAUCCGCGCUGCAUUAGCUAGUUGGUAAGGUAACGGCUUACCAAGGCAACGAUGCAUAGCCGACCUGAGAGGGUGAUCGGCCACACUGGAACUGAGACACGGUCCAGACUCCUACGGGAGGCAGCAGUAGGGAAUCUUCCGCAAUGGGCGAAAGCCUGACGGAGCAACGCCGCGUGAGUGAUGAAGGUCUUCGGAUCGUAAAACUCUGUUAUUAGGGAAGAACAAAUGUGUAAGUAACUGUGCACAUCUUGACGGUACCUAAUCAGAAAGCCACGGCUAACUGCGUG
rnacentral:rRNA from 1 species